rnacentral:rRNA from 1 species
UACGUAGGGUGCAGGCGUUAAUCGGAAUUACUGGGCGUAAAGCGUGCGCAGGCGGUUUGUUAAGACAGAUGUGAAAUCCCCGGGCUUAACCUGGGAACUGCGUUUGUAACUGGCGAGCUAGAGUGUGGCAGAGGGGGGGUGGAAUUCCGCGUGUAGCAGUGAAAAUGCGUAGAGAUGCGGAGGAACACCGAUGGCGAAGGCAGCCCCCCUGGGCUGACACUGACGCUCAGGCACGAAAGCGUGGGGAGCAAACAGG